GAUGAACGCUAGCUACAGGCUUAACACAUGCAAGUCGAGGGGAAACGACAUCGAAAGCUUGCUUUUGAUGGGCGUCGACCGGCGCACGGGUGAGUAACGCGUAUCCAACCUGCCCAUCACUUGGGAAUAACCUUGCGAAAGUAAGACUAAUACCCAAUGAUAUCCCACGAAGGCAUCGGAAUGGGAUUAAAGAUUUAUCGGUGAUGGAUGGGGAUGCGUCUGAUUAGCUUGUUGGCGGGGUAACGGCCCACCAAGGCAACGAUCAGUAGGGAUUCUGAGAGGAAGGUCCCCCACAUUGGAACUGAGACACGGUCCAAACUCCUACGGGAGGCAGCAGUGAGGAAUAUUGGUCAAUGGGCGAGAGCCUGAACCAGCCAAGUAGCGUGCAGGAAGACGGCCCUAUGGGUUGUAAACUGCUUUUAUAAGGGAAUAAAGUGGGUCACGUGUGACUUUUUGCAUGUACCUUAUGAAUAAGGACCGGCUAAUUCCGUG
rnacentral:rRNA from 1 species